GAUUUGCAUUCGCGUGGCACGCGAUCUGCGAGUUAGCCAUCAACGAGCAAGUGGCCCCCGCGAUAGACGCGGGUGUUUUAUGCGAGAGGAAAGUUCCUUACCCGGGUGAAAAUAACGACGAUGGAAGAUAACAGAUAGCGGCAUCACGCGACUGAAGAGGCGUUCUUCCAGAUUCCACGAGUUUAUUGAAAAUUCGUCGAUAUUGGUAACAUUAUUAAACAGUGGAUCACACUUAAUGUUUCUUCGUCGAGAAUCGUGUCCAAAUCGCAAAUAUUGGUAACACUGUUAAACAGUGAAUCACACUUAAUGUUUCUUCGUCAAGAAUCGUGUCCAAAUUGCAGAUAUUGGUAACACUGUUAAACAGUGGAUCACACUUAAUGUUUCUUCGUCGAGAAUCGUGUCCAAAUUGCAAAUAUUGGUAACAUUGUUAAACAGUGAAUCACUUAAGAUCUUUCUUCGUCAAAAUCGUAUCCAAAUUGCAAAUAUUGGUAACAUUGUUAAACAGUGAAUCACUUAAGAUCUUUCUUCGACAAAAUCGUGUCCAAAUUGCAGAUAUUGGUAACACUGUUAAAUGUUUAUUUGUCGAGAAUCGUGUCCAAAUUGCAAAUAUUGGUAACUGUUAAAUAAUGGAACACGUAAGAUGUUUCUUUAUUGAAGUCGCGUUCAGAUUCUAUGAAUUAUUUGCAGACAUCGAUAACACAGUUAAAUUUUGCAGACAUAGAUAACAUAGUUAAAGAAUUUUUGUUAACAGUAGAGAGUCUAAAUAUGUAUUUCCGUGUGCGUUGUUUAAUAUAAAUACGACCAAGUUCCUCGAAUUAUUCGUAGAUAAUACAAUUUGCUGUGCCAUCGUAUUUGAACAGAGAUUUCUAAAUAACAAUAAAUAAUGUAAUAGCCAUUGCUAUCAAGGAAAUAAUUCUUCGAAUUAUUUGUGAUUAUUAGUACUACAAUCUGAACAAUAUCUAUCGUCACUGCAAACUUUCCAUAAAUGCACAAAUCCCUUGGUGCAAGCGUCCUUCAACGUGAACUUUAAUAAUUUGCAUACCAUCCUACCUCAAUUUCUUAAUCUCCGUUACAAUCAAAUUGCAAAGUUGAAAACCUUGUUCAUGACGUACGAUAAACUGACUUUCAUUAAGAUUACGCUCGAGACGUCACACGUAACGGUAGCGUAACAGCGCCGAUAAGCGGCAAAUCGAGUUGAUGAUGUAGCAACGUUAGAAAAAAAAAAAAAAAAGGAAAAGAGAGGGAAUAAAUAUGCUUCUUUUUAUCAGACGAACCAUUCAACUUGUCGAGAUGAUUUAACAUCCGAUUCUUUCAGGACGUUUCUAAUCGGGCUCGAUCUCUCUCCUUUGAUCUUAAUGAAUAAUUUCUGCGUGCAACGUCGUUACGUCAUUACGUUUAAUAUUCUUUCGCAUUAAUCAUCGCUGAGAAAGAGAGAGAGAAAAAAGAGAGAAAUAACUGCGAGUAUCUUAGAGCGAAUAUUGCGUGUUCGCGUGACGUGGAUGUGAAACUUUCUCGUAAUUAGACGUGAAACCGCGUAGAUCCGAGCGGAAUAACGACACCAGAAAGGACGAAACUGGAGGAGGAAGGAAGACGGAAAGAAAUUUUAUGCCGUUUGUUGGAAUCUUUAAUGAACCGAAUUUUUUAAUUACGCAAGUUUUAUUGUGAGAGGAAGGGGAGGAUAUACGAUUGAAUUAAAUUGAAAAUAAAGAUUCAAUUAUUGAAACUGAUUGCGCUAGGUUUUAAAAAUUACAGAGUAUGGUUUAUGAAGAGUUAUUGCAA